rnacentral:rRNA from 1 species
GAUGAACGCUGGCGGCGUGCCUAAUACAUGCAAGUCGAGCGAACAGACGAGGAGCUUGCUCCUCUGACGUUAGCGGAGGACGGGUGAGUAACACGUGGAUAACCUACCUAUAAGCCUGGGAUAACUUCGGGAAACCGGCGCUAAUACCGGAUAAUAUAUUGAACCGCAUGGUUCAAUAGUGAAAGACGGUUUUGCUGUAACUUAUAGAUGGAUCCGCGCCGCAUUAGCUAGUUGGUAAGGUAACGGCUUACCAAGGCAACGAUGCGUAGCCGACCUGAGAGGGUGAUCGGCCACACUGGAACUGAGACACGGUCCAGACUCCGACGGGAGGCAGCAGUAGGGAAUCUUCCGCGAUGGGCGAAAGCUUGACGGAGCAACGCCGCGUGAGUGAUGAAGGUCUUCGGAUCGUAAAACUCUGUUAUUAGGGAAGAACAAAUGUGUAAGUAACUAUGCACGUCUUGACGGUACCUAAUCAGAAAGCCACGGCUAACUACGUG